UUCAUUGUGUAUUGUAUAAUGUGUGUACAUUAUUAGAUAUUCAUGUACAUGUACAUGUAGGUUGGGAGUCUCAGUUACUUGAAAUGGGUUUCCUUGCAAUGUUCUUAUCUCCAGUUUUGAGUUAUAACCAGUUUCCACGUCACACGCCCACAAGCUGGACCAAUGUCUGGGGAAAUCCCUGGAUAAUAUUCCACAUUAUGAUUGGAGCUGGUUUGAUAAAGAUGAGAGGUGGUACCUGUUGGAGGGACUUGACUUGUAUAAACUAUCAUUAUGAGGUUUGUACAUUGUAUAUUGUAUAGUGUAUGAUGCUUUAAUGUGGUGGAGUUUCAGUUUGACAUUUUGUGAUCUGAGAUUGAUUUAUAAUCAGCAUAA